CCCAAUUUCGGCCCGCAGGUUGUACGCCAUAUCAAAAAUCAAGAAAAAUCUACUGAUUAUGGGAAAAAUAUAAAUAACUCUAUCUAGCAUAUAAUUUAGCCGUACAAAAUCAAAAACUAUUCAUGAAUUAUCAUUCUCAAAUGGAUACACAAGAUGGUGGAUGGCGUCAAAUAAAAAAAAAGAUGAACCAUAGACUAAACGUCAGUCGCUAUCAGAUUUCAAUCUGUCACUCACUUCCGUCUUGUUUGUUCUGUUUGUUUUUAUUGCGUUUACGCGUUUAUCUGUCUGUCUCCCGAGUUCUUUUUAUCAACAUUUCUCUGUGACCUGGCUUUCGUUCUUGGAUUGCUAUCUGCCUCAUCUGAUGACCAUGGCAUGUGUUGUAUGGACUUGAGACACAUCGUGCGAUUUGACUAUGUUGUUUUGAUAAACAUCCUCCUAGGAUCCGAUUGAUUCCCGAUACUAUCAGUGUAGUGAAAUGGGCCCUGAAAUCAUUUCUAUUAUUCAAAAUGCCAUAUGCCAAAAGGUCCGGAGACGUACUCAUAACCUAACAGACUAUGCCAGACAGUUUAAUGAAGAAAAUAUUUCACCACAAGUAUAUUUAAGCACCCGAAGAUGGCUUAGUGUGCUAUGAGUGUUGAGUAAGAGUUACAUGAUCUCUUCCGCAGCAAGAAGUUGAAGCUUACAGGAAAGCGAGAACCCUCGACAAUUAAUACUUGUGUAUGGUGCUUAGGCUCUCUUGUUGAGACCAGAAGGCAUUCUUUGCCCGAGGGACCGGAACAGGAUGAAAUAAUUGCAAGAUUUUUCCUAGAGAUUCCAUGUGGCUGGUGGCCAUGUAUGUUAUGCGUGCUGGGUUUCAGCAUGUAAAAAUGUGCAAAGAGCCCGGAACUCCUCUCUGAAGGCAAACUCGUGCCAUAACUACUGGGCCAGCAAGAAUUAGCAACCAGGCCCUGUGUUAGUAAGGGUUGUGUAUAAAGCCUCGUCAUCAUUCUGGAAGAAAAAUAUGUACUCGUACAAUCACCAUUGUUUGGUACUUGGGUUGGGCUCGGCUAGUGUCCUGCUAUUGCUGCACCGGCCUCAUUCUUGGAUAAUAUUUUAAUAAGGGAAGAUGAUGAUUGAAUAAAAACUAAUGAAAAUAAUAUAAAGCUGUUUUAUUUACUAAUACACCUAUACAUCUCUAUGUGAAUAACAGGUUAGUUUGAUCAUUGUGGGUAAAGUAGCCUGCCAGUAGGUCAGUAAUGUUAUCCCAAGAUUUCAUUCUGAAUAAUUAGCAUUAGUUUUUCAACACAAAGAAAACGUAAAACAGAUUACUUCUUAUCAUCCCCUAAAUGUUUAAAAAAA